UGAACUCUGUGCUGUGAGACAGAGCCCUGUUUGUCAAGGUGUCUCCGAGUUCUGACCCAGAAGCUGCCCGAACACCAGGAGAGACCCGCAGUCCUGACUUUCUGUGUCCUUUCCUCCACCCCUUCCUCUUCCUUCUUCUCUUCAGAAGUCAGACCCUGGAGUCUUCUAGAAGAAAAGUGACUUCCAGGAAUACAAUCACAACACAAGCCUUGUGGAUGCAGUGGAGAGAUGCUUCUCCUUUAAGAGGAGGCGCUGGCCUGCAAGCCCCAUCCUGACCCCACAGAGACCUGGCUCUGUUAGACUGCAUGGGCUGCUCACACUGCCAAGCCUGAGUGCAGGACUCUCAUCUGUAAAGAGGAGACUUUGCCUCUUCCCUCAGGAUUUGUCUUCUCAACCUCGGGUUUAGACCCAGACUCCUUGUGUUUAUUCCCAGAAGAUGCAUCUGUGGCUCCAGUCACAUAACUGAAGUGGAAAGAAGAGGAGAGAUGGGUGGGGGCUCCUGAAGAGAGUCACCCAUCACACAGAGCAACAAAUGUGGUGACCACUGGUGUGAACUCCAGUCACCUCCCCAUGCAGGUCUCCACAGCAGCCCAGCAGCCUCUCCAGGAUUCGGCGGCUCCUGUUUCAGUGAACCCCUCUUAGGUGCUGUGAGUGUUUUCCGUGGGAACUUGAAGCUCUUAGGUUCCAUCCUGACUGACCUAAGGAUGCAGUUGGGGUAGGCAGCCCCACAGAAAGGAUCUGUCUCUGUUACUUUUCUUCUCAUUUAUUCUGGUUUUUGAGACAAGGUCUGUCUGCACUUCUCUGGCUGUCCUGGAACUCACUAUGUAGACCAAGCUGGCCUUGACCUCCCAGAGAUACAUGGCCUUUGCAUCCUGAGGGCUGGGUGUCUUAGUUUCCCUUUCAUUGUUGUGUAGAAACACCAUGACCAAGGCAACACUUCUAAAAAGAAACAGUUAAUAGGGGCUGGGCAACAGUUUCAGGGGUUUAGUCCUUUAUAACAGGAAGCAUGGCAGCUGUAGGCAGAUAUGGUGCCGAAGGAGCUGAGACUUCUACAUCUUGAUCCAAAGGCAGCCAGGAAGAGGCUCUCACCCCAUCCGUGCCCAGCUCCCUUCCCUCCUGAGCUCUGCACUGACCCUGUCUCUUCCUUGGCCUCUGGUUUCUCUAUGGUGUCAGCCAGCAGCUGUGAGGCAGCUGUGUGGUUCCUGAGGCAAACAUUCCAAUGGUGGCUGGGGAGAUGGCUCAGCAGCCAGGAGCACUUGUUGCUGGUGCAGAGGAUCCAGGUUGAGUUCCCUCAGCACACGGUGGCUUCCACCAUCUGUGACUUCAGUUCCAAGGGAUCAAUGGUUGUGCACCUACAUAUUUAUAUGUACAAAGUAGGAUAUGUCAUGAAAAUAUUAAAUAUAAAAAUAUGAUUUUAAUAAUCCUGCCUGUCUUUCUUCUACACAUCAAGAGUGAGAGGCCAGGGGCGGAGGGCACAGUGCUGUUCAGACAACAGUGGACCACCAGCCAAUGAAGAGAGCUCUGUGUUAGGAAUUUUGAGAUGGUUGAAAUAGUGUAUUGAAAUGACAAUUUGCAAAACAGCACAAAAUUUAAAGUACAAAAGAUCUUUCAUUGUAUGGACCUGCUGUGCACAGAGGAACACGGCCUCAUCCCAGGAUGAAGACACAGUGUGUGCUGAUCUUUGUAAUUGAGCAGAUGUCAGUUUUGAUUCCCCAUGAACAGGAUAAAUUCCACUCAGAUGGUUGGAUACUAAUUUAUAAGAGACCAGGACAUCCAAACACCCAGAAUGUUCCUCACAGAAAGGUGUCCCCUUUCCCCAUGUUCCCUCCCACUGCUGACCCUCCAGGUCUCACCUGUUGAAGAUGGAGAAGCGUCCCAUUCUUGUCCAAUGGCACCACCUGGUGGAAGAAACAGAGAGGACUGAGUUGAGCCCAUGGAGCUGAGGGUAAAGGGGACCCAGGCUGGCUGAGCUGCCCCAGGGCUUCCCUGCUGUCUGUGCUUCUCCAGGCUCUCAGGUCUCAUGCUGCCCUGCUCUCAUCAAACUUACAUCCAGAAGAACUUUACAUGCUUUCCGCCUGUGGGAAGAAAACGCCCUGUAAGAGGGGAGGCAGGAGGCAGAGCCCUGAGUGCUCAGAGGAGCUGCAAAGCCCCAGAGUAGUUGCAGAACUCUGACCUGGACUAUGAUGUUGAUUGUUUGAUGUCAGCUACAUGCAGGGUUAACUAAAACCCCAAAAUGGAGGGCAACAUCAGUGAGGCAGUUUUGCUUAAGGUGAAGUGGGAAGGUCAGGUUCUGGUCCUUUCCUUUGAUGGAGGAAGAGACACCUGUAAUCGUGAUUAUUUGAGUGGAGUCCCUCCCCGUUUCUAAUCUGGCCACACCUUCUGCUGGAGGCCUCAGUGUAGACAUGGAAGGAAUCGCUUGCUCUUUGUCUUCUUGCUCUUGCUCCUGCUCCAGCUCCUGCUGCUUCUGUGGGACAUUCCUGGCUGCCUGUCCUUGCUCUGCAUAAUGACAGCAGACUUACAUUUAUUUAUGGAUGCCUAGGCUUCAUGCUGGGCCUGUCCCAGCUUCUCCUAACUCAGUUAUCUCAUUUACACCAUCCUAAGUUCUGCCAUGUGGCUGCUCACCUCUCCUCAGAUUCACACAUCCCGACCCCUCUGAGUCUGGGUGUUGAAUCCCCCAUGGUUCUCUCUUCCCAGAGUUCCUCCCUCUGACCACAAUCCUGCCCUCAGCUCUCCUUGGCUAUAGGACGUAGGCUUUGAAUCUCAUCCUUCAGAAGGUGCUUUAGGUAGGCAGGGUAGGAGGGAGAGGCUUCCUCACACAGGGCACAACGACAUUACCUCAGCAUUGCCCCCGUUAGUCCUAUAAAAGGCAAAUCUUUCUCUGACAUCAUCAACUAUAUACAGUGAGGACACGGGUAAAAACAUAAUUAUAAAGAAUUAACAAUUAUUCUUCAUUAAGAAUUAUUAUGUAUUUAAUUAUUUAAUUAAGAGGAAUUUAUUUUACAAAUAAGAAUUUUAAUUAAUUCUUAAUCUGGUGUUUGUGCAGGAAUAGGAACCCUGACUAAGACACACUAUAUUCCAGUCCCAGAAUGUCAAAUUAGGAUAGAUGCACUGAGGUUGGCAGAAUUCUCACAUUGCUUCUCUGACCUGUGGGCUGAGGGAUAUCAUGGUUGGAAAGACUAAAUGGAAGCCUUUAGAGUUCCCUCUGACAAGGAAAAUAGAGAAUCAAAGAUAGCAUCGCAUCACUGUAGGAAUUUCAGGAAUCAGUGCCACCAUCAAUGGUCAAGUGUCAUUCUCCACUAUCAAAACCUCUUGCUGUGCACUGGACAGAUAGGAGAGUCAAAAGGAGAUAUGGUUGGAAAAACGUUGGAUUCUGGUCACAUGUGUAUGCUUCAGAGGUUGGGAAAUAAAUCCUAUGAAACAUUUGAGAUCCUUCUAAUUCAGUGAAAUUAAGGAAUCCAGUGGAUGGGGCAGGCACAGAUAUUCCAUCCAAGAAGAAGGGAAGGCUCCUGACCUGGCCCCUCCUACCACCAAGAAAGGAGCACAGGGCUUAGUUUGUGUCUUUGGAUUCUGCAAACAGCACAUCCCUCACUUGGAUCUGUUACUCUGGCCCAUAAGCCUUCUGAAUCAGAGAGCUGCUAACUUCCUGUGGGUCCUGGGACAGGUGAAGACUCUUCAACAGGUCUAGGCUGCCGUUCAGGCUGUUCCAACUUCUUGGACCAUAUGAUCCAGCAGACCUGAUGGUACUUGAGGUGUCAGUGACAGAGAAGGAUGUUGUUUUGAGGAUUUGGCAGGCCUCUGUGAGGGAAUCACAGAAGGGAACUUUGGGAUUUUGGAGCAAGGCUCCACCAUCAUCUGCACACAACUAUUCCCCCUGUGAGAGACAGCUCUUGGCCUUGGUGCGACCUGAAUAUUUGACAAUGGGCCACCAAGUUAUCAUGUGACCUGGGCUGCCUAUAAUAGGUUGGAUGUUAUCUGACCCACCAGGUCAUAAAAUAGGACAUGCACAGCCCUAAGCUGUUAUCAUAUAGAAGUGGUAUAAAUGUAAUCAGGACUGGAUAGGUCCUAUAGGCACAAGGAAGUUACAUGAAGACUUUGCCCAACUGCCUCCGGUCUCUAGUCCUGUUACAAUGUCAUCUGAGGCCAAGCAUGCACCUGCAGCCUCAUGAGCUGUGCCUUAUCCUUGCAAGACUGAGGAAGAAGAGACGAGGGCCCGUCUUGCUGAUGGCUGUGCAUGCUAUGCAGGCCCCACCAGACGUGGACAGCUGCAGCAUUACCAAGCAUUGCUUCGAGAACCCUGAAGGACCUUUCUGAUGGGGAAUCUUCACAGUGGGAGGAAGUUCAGGCAGGUACAUGGUAAUGCCUUUUAUUUGGAUGGAGAAAUGAUCAGAUGUGUUCUGUAAUUCAUAGGCUGUGGCUGGAUGGACAGGGCCUUGGAAAGAGCAGGAUUAGAGUCAUCUGGGGAAGAAGCCAGGGGAUAGAUUUCUUCACAUGGGUGAAGGAUGUAAAGUCACUUGUGUCCCAUAUACAUGAUCUUCAAAAGGUGAUGUCAGCUCGGGAGAAGUUGAAUAACCAAGUAGGAGGGUGACCCAUUCUGUGGACAGUGAGUUUCUUUACCAGCCAUCUCUGUCAUUACCCAACAAGCCUAUGACCAAAGAGGUCAUGGUGGCAGAGAUGGGUGUUAUGCAGGGUCUCAACAAUAUGGACUUCUACUCACUAAAGCUGAGGGACUACAGCUGCUGCUGCAAGUCAGAUCUGCCUACAACAGAGACCAACACUGAACGCCAGAUGUGGCACCAUUCCUCAAGGUGAUAGCCAGUGACCUGGUGGUAGGUUGACUACAUUGAGUCGGGUCCUUCAUGGAAAAGACCACACUUGGUACUGACUGGAGUAGACACUCAUUCUCACUACAGAAGUAAAUACUGACUAUAGAUUUGUCUUUCCUGCCUGUGAUGCAUCUGCUGAAAUCACCAUCAGUGAACUUACAGAAUGCUUUAUCCACCGGCAUGCUCUCCCACAGAAUACCAGACUUCCACAUGGUAUUCUGACCAAGGAACUCUCUGCGGAGCAGGAGAAGUUUGAUGUGGGUCCAGAGUCAUGGAGUCCUGUAAUCUUCGCAUGGUCUGCACCAACCUGAGACAGCUCGAUUGAUAGAAAGAUGUAGGGACUUUCUGAAGACACAGUCACAGUGCUCUCAUUAGGUGACAGCAGCCUGGAGGGCUGACUUAUAUAUAGUGGGACUUUCUUGGUCCUGCGGUGGAUGAAUAAAGACACAGAGACUAAUUAUUAUUAUUUAUAACAGCUCACACACUUAGCUUGGAAGACUUUCCACUAUUCUAGGCUCACAAAUACUGGCCCAUAUUCCCCUUGUGGCCUGUCCUUUACCUCUCUCACAGAGCGUCAUACAUUGGUCCUCUCCCAUGUCAUGCUAGCGAACCCUCCUGCCUCUGAAUCUUUUCCCAGAGCCCUCUCUCAGUCUGGAAGUCCCACCAUUACUCUCCUGUCUAGGUACUGCCUCUCAGGCUAAGACAGGGAUGACAGUGUUAGGGGGUGAUUGAUGCAGAACUCCAAGGGGAAAUUAGAUUGCCCUUCACAGUCGGGGGUGAGAAGGAUCAUGUCUGGAGUGCAGGGGACCUCUUAGGGCUUCUCAUAGCACAACCGUGUCGUCUGAUUAAAGUCAAUGUGAAGGUACAACAGCCUAAUCCAGGCAGGAUGACAAAGGGCACAGCCCCUUCAGGAAUGGAGGUGUUGUCACUGCUCCCAAAAAAGGGACAAGACCUGCUGAGGUGCUUGCUAGAAGAAAUGAAGUGUGGGAUGCACAGUAGAGGAAGGUCGUCAUAAAUACCAGUCAGGAGAGAGGGAGAUUUGCCUAUGGACACUGUAGAGGACAGACUCAUGAAGCUGAGGAGUGGUAAUUACCCACCUGGCAGAAAAUAGUGUCACAUGAAUGGGAUUAUAAAGUCUGAGCUAGCCGGACACCAGCCAAAGGUGUUUGACCAAGGCCUUAAGCAUAUACGUCCCAGAGUCCUUAUUUCUUGAAAUGAAGAGGCUGGGUAGAACACACGAGGUCAGGGCUAUAAACACCAGGCAGUCUUGGCACCUGUUGCAGAAAUGCGGAUUAUAAGUUACACCAGCAUUUCUGUGCUGUUUGCUUCAGAAUGUCUUUGUACAGAUAUUUGUGUUUUCGGUGUAUCAUACAAUGUAGCACCAAUUGAGAGAAUUAUAAAUGGCUAUAGCAUUUGAUUUUGAGAUAGUACAAGAAUGACCCUCAAGGGACAUUGCCACUCUUUCUAAACUUACACGCCCUUUGUGAUGUCACACGGGACAGUUAUCUCAUGUUUCCCCAUUAUUAUGACCUGGUUAUUGGUUUCAUUCGAAAGUUCCCCAUCACACAGGGAGAUGUGACUGUGUGUCCAACUGCAUAUCAUUAAAGUAAGUGGUGUUUUUAUUCUCUGACCCAGCUUGCUCCCAGUAAUUGACACAGAGAGACUAUGGUUUGUUCAAUUCGCUUUAAAUCAUGAUCACUGGGCAUUUCUGUUCUGUUCUAAUCCUCUAAGCUCACCCAGCUUCCUCCCAGCCUAGUCUCAUGUGAUACUGUCAUUGUAGUGUAGAUGUGGCUCUAUCUGUGACUUGGCUGUUUUCUCAUGGUGGCUUCUCCACCUCUCCUCAUGGCUGAACUCCCCCCUCUCCCUUUCUCUCCUCCCCUCCAUGGAGUCAGAAGCACCACCCUGUUCUCUCCACUGCUCAGUUAUUGGCUGAUCAGCUUUAUUGACAAAGCAGAAAACAGACGGGGAGCAAUGUUUGCACACACUCCAGACAGGACGUUCUUACAGUAAGCAUUCCAGUGCCACGCCCAGUUUAAAACCAGAUGUGCAGAAGCGAGAAAUCGUCAUUUGAGUGACACAAAUGUAAUCUUUACACGGUGCACAAUGACAGUUGUGCUAACAAAGCUGACGAGAGGUGGACGUGUGGUGGCCAGGCUUACAUGCCAACUGGACUGCAUCUGGAGUUAACCCCAACAUGGAGGGAACACCUGUGACAGGAUUUGCUCAAUUUGAAGUGUGAAAAAUCAACUUCUGAUAUGGAUUUUGUGGUAGGAGAUACAUUUUAAUCCAGAGUAUCUGAGAUGGAGACCCCCACCCUAAAAUGGACCACACCUUCCGGUGGACGCUACAUAAGGACACGGAUGAAGGAAGCCUUUGCUCUUUGCCUGCUGCUCUGCCCUGCUGGGAAGUUCCUUUCUUCACUGACUUGAGCGCCUGCUUCUUUGGGGUGGUACCUUACACUGAAGGGCAGCUGAGGCGUCCAGCCUUGUGGACUGAGCAUCUACUGAAUUCUUGGAGUUUCUAUUCAUCGUCAGCCAUUGCUGAGUUAUCUGGACCACAGACUGUAAGACAUUAUCAUGCAUCAAAUACAUUAUAUUAUAUAUAACAUAUAAUUGUUCGUUCUAUACGUUCUGUUACUCUUGAGACACGGCUAAUACACAGACCCAGCAAGGCCAGGAAGCACUGGUCUGCCCUGUGGUGAACAGAAAUGUGUGGUUUAAUGAGAAUGGCCCCCCAGGCUCAUAGAUGUGAGUGCUUGGUCCCCAGGGUUGGGCACUGUCAGGAAGUGUGGCCUUGUGGGAGGGACUGUGCCACUGAGGUGGCUGAGGAGUUUCAAAUGCUCAGGCCAGGCCCAGGGUCAGGCUCUUCCAGCUGCCCGCGGAUCUGGAUGCAAACCCUCAGCUGCAUCUCCUGCAUCUUGUCUGUCUGUCUGUCUGCUACUGUGCUCCCCACCAUGACAACAAGGAACAAUUAGGAUCAUGGGUGCCAUUCGUGUUGUUUCUCUAAGGGACACUGAGGCCAAUGUUGCAUGGACAGGUGAAUACACUUAGGGAUCUUCACGUUUGGUUUCAGAUGCACAGGGUGGAGGAUUCUAAGAGGCCUCCCAAAAGAACAGGAGGGCGGGAAAGAUCCUGCUGCCCUGGGUGAGAGAGGGGAAGCAGAAAGUCACUGCAGCCUGGAGCCAUGGGCGCCCCCAGACUCAGGGAGAAGAAAAUGAGGACCAAGCUGUUCAGUGGGUCAUCACCACAACCCAGCAACCUGGCCAAACCUAAGAGUGCCGGUGCCUGGUGCCAGGACUUUUGUAGAAGCCAGAAGUGGAAUGAGAACCAAGCUCUCAUAAAGGAUCUUAUUCAUAGGAAAGGGUUGGGAAUGGAGUCUCAGAAGCCAUGAGGCCUAGAGGAGUUGCAGGGUUAGAGUUGCAAGUUACAGGCGUCUCUAACAUGAGAGUGGUAGGCGAGGGCAGGAAGAGUCACAGUAGCCCAGCAGGGCCCUGAAAACCACAAGGGUCUAGAGGAGCUGUGAGAGAGGCAGCUCUGAAGGGAAGGUGAGCAAAGGGCAGAUAGGGGGCGCCAUGGCCCAGGAGACCUAAGGGAACCGCAGAGUGGCAGCUCCAAUGGUGGGAGAAUGGGGCCAGCUGAAGAGGGCCAGCCUUAAAGACUGUGGCUGGAGGUACCAGUGAAGGCAAAUACUCGAGACCAAUGAAGCAUUGCACAGCCAGCUAUGCAAAACGGCCAUCGCUGUCCAUGGCGUCCUUUUAUACUCCCUCUAAACAUCCCGUGUCCUCCCACAGCUCAGGAAAACACCAUGUGAAUCUGUCUUACCAAACUCCAUGUGUGUCUGUAUCAGUUAAUAUAUCUAAAACUUCCGCUCCAAUCUGCCAAUUUCCUGGAGUACACAGAAUUGGUACGAAGCCUUCAGAACACCAUUUCUCUGUGAAGUCAAGACAAACAAUGACCAGCAAGGAAUGCCCAGGUACCAUCACCAUCCAGCAUCUUCCCUCCGGUGGGAAGUUCUUCUCGGCUGCAGACAGCUUUUCUGCAGUGCCAUGAAGAUCAAACUUUUGGUUUCCUUAGAGAGUCAGUUCUGUGGGAUGGUAUUUUGCUGAGGCAAACAUGUGAAGGAGUGUUUUCCUGAAGCAAACACAACUGAAAGGACAUUUUGCUAACGCAAGGACGUGAAAGGACCCAUGAUGUAGGAUUAUUUGAUUAUGACACACAGGGGCUGGUUCACCUUACAUUGCUUUGUGGAGCUCCACUAGUUCUGAUUCCAUAGAGAGAAAUGCACCAGAAAUGUCCUGGUAGUGUGCUGGCGGCUCCCUGCUGCUUCUGUGGACUGGGCUGAUUGGCAGAGUGACGUCAAUCUGUGAAUGAUACAGACCUAUGUGAAGUUUGGCAAGAUAAACUCACAGGUUAAGGCAAGACACUUGGUGAGGCAAGACUUAUGGAGGACAUGCGAAGUUUGGAGGGAGUAUAAAUGGGACCCAAUGGACAGUGAUAGGAGGCUUGGAUUGCUUGCACGGCUCUCUUUGUAAUGCUUCUUGGUCUCCUGUCUUCACUGAUCUGCUCUUCCCUGAGAGAGGCUUGCUAAGGAACUUCUCCUGGUGUCUCUACUGAUCCUAAUCCCUCCUGAUGACCCAUGCUAAUUUGUGUGAGUUCUAGCUGUUUCUGCAAGGUCAUGCUACCACUGCUGCUAUCCGGACACUAAUGAAGUGACCUGUGACCUGAACUGCUGAUUUCCUGACAACACAGAGGAAACUUGCUCCAAAGAUCAAUUCCUAAACAGGUCCAUUUCCCCCGUAUCCUAAUACCCUUUCUUUUCCACUACCUUUAGUGGGUUGUAGGCUUGAAGGGAGGUUAAAGCAUUUAAGAGACCACAUUAAAGUAGGACUGAG